CAUAUACUCCCUCUGUUCGGAAUUACUUGUCUCGAAAAUGGAUGUAUCUAGAAUUAAAAUACGUCUAGAUACAUCCAUUUAUGUGACAAGUAAUUCCGAACGGAGGGAGUAGCUC
rnacentral:pre_miRNA from 1 species